AAAACAUAGAUUUUAGUAUAUAAUUAUUAUAACAAGUUGGAGUCAACCACAUGGCCCUGGAGAUUAUAUUGAUGUCUCUACCAACUUCGCCGAUAUUUGAGUAAUUACAAGAUUUUUUUGUUAUAGUAUAUUGUUUAAGUUGUACGAUUAUAAGAAAACCAACACGUCUGACGUCUACGACAAAGAAAAACAGGGGGCUGCUUACACAGACAAAAGGAUUGUUUCAUGCUUUUCUGGUUUAUCAGUUCAUAAAUAUAUACGAUUAAACAAAUGUAUGGCCAUGUUCAGAAAAGAUAAAUAAAUGGUUUACUGAUCGCGCAAAAAUUGUUAUCGAAAGAAGUGAGUGGAUCGUAGAAAAACAGGGGGCUGCUUACACAGACAAAAGGAUUGUUUCAUGCUUUUCUGGUUUAUCAGUUCAUAAAUAUAUACGAUUAAACAAAUGUAUGGCCAUGUUCAGAAAAGAUAAAUAAAUGGUUUACUGAUCGCGCAAAAAUUGUUAUCGAAAGAAGUGAGUGGAUGAUCAUUUUGCAUUUUAAAAAAUCGUUCAAACUUUAUCUAAAGCAAUUGAUUAUAACUAACUUCCGCUAUCAACCAUAUUUAAUGGAAAUGGUUUAUUAAUUGUUUAUUUAGCUUGGUUCUCACAUUGUAUAUUGGUUAGAUUUGAUAAUUGAUUUGUUAUAAAUAUAUACACGAUUCAUAUGCUUAUUCUAUUACUACAAUUUUUAAAUUUUAUUAAACUAGAAUGUAUAAAAGUGAAGUAUCUUUAAGACUUUGUUUAGUCUCGUUAACUUGAUAUACUUUGUUCCGCUAUGUUAAUUUAUAUAUAAUCUAUAUACUAUAAUAAAAGUAGAAUAACUUGAAAAGAGAGGCUGUCCACAUCAACAAAGAAAAUCAGCCAACCAUAUAUUUUCAAAUUCCCAUAUCAUAUUUAUUUGCAAAAAAAAAACUUUGAUUAUUAAUUUAUUAAACAAUAGCCGACAUAUACGAUACUCCUUCUUCCUUCGAUCUCCACUUCGCUGGCUAAAAGCAAAACAAAUUUCAUUAAUUUUACUUAAAAUAGAACAUACUAUAAAAUAACAAAACAAGAUGACUAAGAAAAAUUAACUGCCCAAACAAAUACUAGACAACCCUACAUGAUAACUAAAUGGACAUUAACAAUCAAUCAACAUCACUAAAAAAUAUCAAAUCUAGAGAUAUGUUCCUCUCCUUAACUAUAUUUGUUGCACUAUAUAUUCUUCUUUUAUAGCCAAAUAUGAUACACUUUAAUAUAUAUACUAUACUCUCAAAUCUCAAUAUUGAUAAAGUAAUUAACAUUUACAUGCAAGAACACUUACGAAAAAAAUAACUUAUUAAGUUAAUGUUGUAGGAAAGAGGAACAGAUAAUAAAAAACAUAUAUAACACAUUUGCAACAAAUUAAAAUAUAUAAGUCAGCAGUUGGGUGUAGCGCAAGAAAAUCUCUACGAUUUAAGCCAAUUUUAGCAUUCUCUAGAGUGUACUUCAUAUGAUAUUUUCAGACAAACAUCAUAAAACGUUUAACUAACUAAAUGAAUACAUUGUGUUUAAUUUGUUAAAAAAAAUAAAGAAAUCAUAUUUAUAAAUAAAAAUUAAAAUUCAGUAAAAAUAAAAUUAAAAAUUAUCUUAAGAGUAGUUACUUUGAUGUCUACUCUAAAUGUUUUGUAAAAUUGAUAUCAAAAUAAAUUAAAAUAAAGUUAUGUCAAAACGUUUGUCAGAACAUACAAGAUUUGUAUAUAUACUAAAUAAAAUAAAUAAUUAAUGAAACUUUGUGGCUUUUGGUGUGUACCACUGAAACAAAUCAGCAUAUACUAUUAAAGUAAAAAUUAAAAUAUGUUUGUGGCUUUUGAUUAGCUCAUUACAAAUACUUUUCUGAAAAGUUUUUUAGGAUGACAUAGAAUUUUUUUUGUUACAAAUAUAGCAUUCAAGGGUCAAAAUGACAAAAAAAAAUCAUUAAAAGAUAAAUAGACAUUUAUACUUGUAGGGUUAACUAAUAUAGAAUUAUGAUUUAAAUUAGAGGGGUGUGUACAUGAUUUUUCUUUAAAACAAACUACACAAUUUCAACAUAAAAUUUUUUAGUUUCAGUAAUAAUUUUGGAUUUCAAGUUAAAUAUUGAAAAAUCUGAAAAAAUAAAAAAAUUUGAAUUCAAAACUGUAUUAUUCAAAAAUAAAAAUUAUUAUUGUAUUUUUAUUUAAAUAAGUAUUAUAUUUAAAUCUAUAAAAUAAAUGUAGAAUGGUCUUUUACUUCUUUAAUGAAACAUGUUUUAGUCAUGUUCCUCUUUGUGAGUUAUUAAAUCUUAAAAGAGUAAUUUGAGAAAUUUGCCAUCAUUUAUUUAUAAAGUUAUACCAAAUAAUUUUGUGUAAAAAUCAAUUUAGUCACCAAUCAAUGCAUUAUGAAAUAAUUUUCUGUAAAGAUCAAUUUAGGUUAGAACAUCACCAAUCGAUGCAAUAUGAGAAAGUUUUUUAAAUCUCGAAAAAUUUAUAUUCUGAUUUCCGCUAUUUUAACUCCAUUUUAAACUGUUUAAUAAUUAAUAAUUAAUUUAAGAGUGUAAAAUAGUAAUGGAAGCAUGUUUCUACUCUAACAUACAAACAAUAUUGCAAUGUUAUAUAUAUAUAUAUAUAUUAUUUUUUACACAACAACAAUGACUAAUAACAUCUGCAUAUUUGAAAUACGCAUAAUCUAAACAUGGAAUCAUUCUCAUUGAAAUCUCCAGAUUUCACAUUUUUUAAUAAAUUAUCAUUUAAAAAGUAGUAAAUACCAAACAAAUUUUAAUAUUGAAAAACUAUAGUUUCAAAUUAAAGAUUAUUGAAUAAUUUUUAUUGGUUAUCAAACUUUACAGAUUUAAGUAUUCAAAAUGAUUACACAUUUAUGAAUAUAUAUAUAUAUAUAUAUAUAUAUAUAUAUAUGAAAUGAAGGUCAUUUACCUAUUCUUCAAAUAAUAGUUUAAAAUUAAAUCAGAUUACUUAUAAAGAAAUAUAUGAAACAUAAGAUAAUAGAAAAUAUUAAAAAUUUAUUAAAUAUAGAGUAUUUGAACUUUUAAUAAAAUUUAACAUGAUUACUAAAAUAUUAAUUGAAUUUUUAACUAUGUUUAAAUCUAAAAUAUAUAUUAAAAUAUAAAUUAACAAUAUUUCGAAGAAAAAAACUUAUAUUUUUCAAAAUAAUCCUUCUAAUUUGUUAAAUAUUAUAUCAAAACAAAUAAGUUAUAUAAUUAAAUUUUGCCAUUUAAGUUUAAUAUUAAAAAUAUACAUGCAAGUUUUAUAGACAAACAAACCGUGCGUAGCGCGGUGAUACCUCUAGUAUCAA